GGUCGCUUAGCUCAGUUGGCUAGAGCGUGGUGCUAAUAACGCCAAGGUCGCGAGUUCGACCCUCGUAGUGACCA